AUUUGUAAAGCACUCACAAUGUCCGGGAUUUCCCCCUCCCCCGGCAGAGCGAGCGGCUGGGAGGGCUGCAGAAAAAUCCCGGGCUGGACUCCUGAGCAGCUGUAGAGGAGCCGGAGCCGCCCUGCAUUCUGAGUUGGCCUCUCCUGCAACCCGGUCCGGCAGCACUGUGCAGGGCCAGGGACCGGGUUUUGUUGUGCUGGGGAGCGCAGCCACGUGUCCGGCUCUGCUCGCACAGAGCCCAACACCCUGUUCUGAGCAGCAGGAAAUAUCCAGAGAAGUAGAAGAAUCUCUUCGAAAGCUGAUGAAAGAAGUGGAUAACAGCCUAACACUACCAGUUACUCCAUUAGCUUAAGUGGCAUAUGUCUGCGUAGUGAAUCUAAAGAUCCUUAACCCAGCUGAUGACCCAUGGCAGGGCCAUAGGAUGCUACCAGGCAGUUCCUGCAUCAAAUCCAUAUCUCCUAGCUGAGCUAGAGCAUAUCUUAUAGAAAGCCAUCCACUCUUGAUUUAAAGACUGAGUGAUGGAGAACCCACUACAUCCCUAGGUGGGAGUUACCAAAGCUUCAGCCACUCCAAGUAAAAUGUAUUGAGGAGCCAGAUGAAAACAAGGCAUGGAGGAAACUGGAAGCAC